UCAAGGCAACUUGGCUAUACCCAUACGUGACAACAUCCCUCACGAUCUUGUAACAUGAAACACUCAAUCAGACUACAUGUUUGUGUGUUACCAUAUAUGGGAGACAAAGAAGUGAAAAAUAUGUUUAAAAAAACCCUUGCCACGUGGCAUUCGGGGUUGAGUUCUCUGAGUACGAACCCACCUGCGUGGUGCCGGCAGGACUAAAGUUGCUUCCCGGAAAGAAAAGUCUCAGUGUCAUGACUCUGCCAGAAUCCUGCUACAUGACUUGUGGGCUCUCCUCCGGGAUUCGGAGACAGUGCGUUUCCACCCCGUUUGCCACCAGGGAUGAGAACCUCAGGGCAAGAGGCGGCUCACCUGGCGCCAGCAGACCCCUGGAUCCGCAGGGGACUAGCCCUUCCCGCGAUCUGGGGCGAGGACCGCCUGUGCGCUAACGGAAUCCCGUGAGGGCCAGGAACCAGCUCGGGGAGCGCCGUCAGACGUUCGUUUUGGCAGACCUGCCCGUAAGAGGCAGAAGGGGAGCCUGAUCAUCUCCCAGAGUUGCCCUAGUAGUUGCAUAAGGGGCGAGGAACGAAGCUGCAACUCUAAGGUGUUGGGCGCUGGACAAUGGGUGGCAGGUUGGAGUCGCCGUGUGACUGUGUAUGGGGACUUGUCUGUCCUUCACUUCCUGGGUAAAUGACUAUGAUCAUUAGAGCCAACUGUCUUGGUUAUUCUACCUCAGAAUGGGGACUUUAAGGAAUAGUCCCAAGCGGCUGCUGAAACUCCUUUUCUUUCACGGAAAUUCCCUGUCUUCUCCGACUGACAUGGACUAAUUUCACUGGUGGAAAACAAAACAAAAGAAACUUGGAGUCUGCCCCUCUGUCUGAGCUGACAAGAUUUAAAACUGGGAAUUCUCUUUCUCUGCCUUCUGCUGGCACCUGGUCUCUUCUGCCUUCCCUUCCCCUCCUCCUAUUUCUACACCACCUGGGGCGCAGCCGGCAGAACGGCCUCCUCAAUGCCUCAGGCACCAUCAGCUCCUCCCACCCUAGAUGUCAAGGAGCAAAGACCAUCACCGAUGUCAGAUUUCCCCACCAACAUUCCAGAUUCAUUUUUUUGCAAGGUUGCUUCUUCAUCAUUUGCCGGAGUCCAGCUCCAGCAGGCCCAGGGGUUCCCGAAGGAUGGAGGGCAUCGGUGAAAAUAAAACAAAACUAAAAUAAAAAACUAAAAAAUAAAAAACUAAAACUAAAAUAAAAAUGGACACAGAUAACAGCAA